rnacentral:rRNA from 1 species
GUCGAACGGUAACAGGUUAAGCUGACGAGUGGCGAACGGGUGAGUAAUGUAUCGGAACGUGCCCAGUCGUGGGGGAUAACUGCUCGAAAGAGCAGCUAAUACCGCAUACGACCUGAGGGUGAAAGCGGGGGAUCGCAAGACCUCGCGCGAUUGGAGCGGCCGAUAUCAGAUUAGGUAGUUGGUGAGGUAAAGGCUCACCAAGCCGACGAUCUGUAGCUGGUCUGAGAGGACGACUAGCCACACUGGGACUGAGACACGGCCCAGACUCCUACGGGAGGCAGCAGUGGGGAAUUUUGGACAAUGGGCGCAAGCCUGAUCCAGCCAUGCCGCGUGCGGGAAGAAGGCCUUCGGGUUGUAAACCGCUUUUGUCAGGGAAGAAAAGGUUCUGGCUAAUACCUGGGACUCAUGACGGUACCUGAAGAAUAAGCACCGGCUAACUACGUGCCAGCAGCCGCGGUAAUACGUAGGGUGCAAGCGUUAAUCGGAAUUACUGGGCGUAAAGCGUGCGCAGGCGGUUAUGCAAGACAGAGGUGAAAUCCCCGGGCUCAACCUGGGAACCGCCUUUGUGACUGCAUGGCUAGAGUACGGUAGAGGGGGAUGGAAUUCCGCGUGUAGCAGUGAAAUGCGUAGACAUGCGGAGGAACACCGAUGGCGAAGGCAAUCCCCUGGACCUGUACUGACGCUCAUGCACGA